AGCGAACGCUGGCGGCAGGCUUAACACAUGCAAGUCGAACGGGCUUCUUCGGAAGUCAGUGGCAGACGGGUGAGUAACACGUGGGAACGUGCCCUUCGGUUCGGAAUAACUCAGGGAAACUUGAGCUAAUACCGGAUACGCCCUUUUGGGGAAAGGUUUACUGCCGAAGGAUCGGCCCGCGUCUGAUUAGCUUGUUGGUGGGGUAACGGCCUACCAAGGCGACGAUCAGUAGCUGGUCUGAGAGGAUGAUCAGCCACACUGGGACUGAGACGCGGCCCAGACUCCUACGGGAGGCAGCAGUGGGGAAUAUUGGACAAUGGGCGCAAGCCUGAUCCAGCCAUGCCGCGUGAGUGAUGAAGGCCUUAGGGUUGUAAAGCUCUUUUGUCCGGGACGAUAAUGACGGUACCGGAAGAAUAAGCCCCGGCUAACUUCGUG
rnacentral:rRNA from 1 species